CAUCGCCUUUUAUUGUCUGUGAGCUUUGGGGAAACUUGCUGGCCAAGUCCCUGUGUCCUCACCUGGAAAACCGGUGGCUGUGUUGACUGAAUAAGUGAAGUCCAGUGGGACAAUGGAACAUGCCUGGGAACAGAGGAGAUGCUUAUCAUAACGGACACAGCCUCCCAUGGAGCAUUCACGAUGCCCCUGAGCACAGAAUUCAGCUGCACCCGCGAUGCAUGAAGUUCAGCGAGACUCGGAGUGAAGCUCAAGGCAUUUUUCAUUCAUCUGGCAGAAGAGGCACUCUUUUUCUUUGGAUGCUGUGAUAGAUGGUGGUGUCACCAGGAACUGAUGUAGCAUUUUGUUACUGUAUGAUAGAAACCGGUCAGAGCACAAAACA